AGUGGUUGAAGUGGUCAAGGAGAAAGUUAAACCAGCUCCUGUAAGGAAAGAGCCUGAAGUUCCUAAAGAAAAGGCUCCUGAACCAAAACCUAAAAAAGUUACAGUUGAAGUCAUCAAAGAGAAAGUAAAACCAGCCCCUGUGAAAAAAGAGGCUGAAGUGAAGGAGAAAGUUAAACCAGUCACUGAGAAAAA